rnacentral:pre_miRNA from 1 species
UAGCUACUCUCUUUGUAUCAAAAUUCGUGUCUUAAAUUUGUGUAGAUGUGAACGUAUCUAGUCAAGUUUUAGUAUUUAGAUACAUCCAUCAUUUUUAGACAAAGCUAAGACAAGAAUUUUAGGACGGAGGAAGUAUGUC